AACGCGAAGAACCUUACCAGGUCUUGACAUCCUCUGACAAUCUGAGAGAUCAGACUUUCCCUUCGGGGACAGAGAGACAGGUGGUGCAUGGUUGUCGUCAGCUCGUGUCGUGAGAUGUUGGGUUAAGUCCCGCAACGAGCGCAACCCCUGUGGUUAGUUGCCAUCAUUCAGUUGGGCACUCUAAGCAGACUGCCGUGGAUAACACGGAGGAAGGUGGGGAUGACGUCAAGUCAGCAUGGCCUUUAUGUCCUGGGCUACACACACGCUACAAUGGCCGGUACAGUAGGUAGCGAAGCCGCGAGGUGGAGCCAAUCCACAAAGCCGGUCUCAGUUCAGAUUGCAGGCUGCAACCCGCCUGCAUGAAGACGGAGUUGCUAGUAACCGCAGGUCAGCUAUACUGCGGUGAAUACGUUCCCGGGUCUUGUACACACCG
rnacentral:rRNA from 1 species